rnacentral:lncRNA from 1 species
UACAACGAUUGACCGACAACUUAAGCAGCAGUAAACAAGGUUAUAGUGACCAUCAGGAAAAAAAAAACCAAACAAUAAAGCGCAUUGUUGGAGCUGAAUAAGGCGUUGAUACGACCGUUUGAAUUUAGUGACGUAAUUAAAUGGAGGGAGAGGUCGUCCCAUGACCUUAGUCAGGUCGUAAAGGUGUGAGGUGUUAGACACCUUUCUGUUCUCUGGACUAGCGAGACGUGGGAGGGGUGUCCAUGUCCUCACCCUCGCUACCUGUCUUUCCCCAACCCUCUCUAAGUCAGGUCCACAUUCUCGCCAAUCGGGAAGACUGGCAGAAGUGAGGUGCGCUACUCAGGUGACAAACCAGCGCCUCAAUCAUAAGAAACAAAAGCGAAAUAGAGAAACAUGUGUGAGAUUUGUUACUUCCAUGACUGCAGCUGAUCGAGUGCUUUAGGAAUAUUUUUCGUGUUGUGAACAUCCGUCUUUCAUUUAUGGACAUCAAAAAAAGAUAUUUUGGUAAAGUUCAGCAGUUCAGGAACUCGCCUACCCGCGGGUAACGACUUCAGUCAACAGAAGCUGUCGUUGUCAUCAGGCGUUGCUUGCCGUUGCUUGCAGCGACAAAACAAUCAACAAUAAACACAGACUCCACCAACUGAGAAACCAGACGUAACCAAUCUUUAAAAAGGUUUCAACGACAUUGCCAUGGCAUCGAUAACAUUUAACGAUGAACAUUAAAAGUUUAUUGGAUGCAACAGAUGGCUGAGCGAUACACCCAACCUUCUGAUUGGACGUGCGAAGAUCAAAAUGGUUCCUGCGUAUUACACUUCCAGUGUCACAUAUCCAAGCAAGAGAAUUUUUCUCAUUAAUUAAUCUAUCUUAUUAAUCAGUCCUACAGUAUGUCUUAUCAACAUUAAUCAAUCACUCUUGUUAAGCACUCAACAUCAUAAAUGCUCCAAUCGACAUACCAGCGAGUUGUCGUUCGUGCCUGCCACCCUAUAUCAUUGGUGCCAGUCUAAAGCCACUAAUUCUACCUCCGUGUUUGAAACACAUCUCUUAGAUUAACCCAGGGGUUUAUUUCAAUCCUCUACCCUAUUUCAAACCUGUCAUUGUUGCGUCCGUGUUAGUUCAGAUAAGAAGCUGAUUUGGACAUGUCUGACGUGGUUAGCGCCCCAGAGAAAAAAGCGACCACUCGAGUAAAGCCAGUCAACGAUGUCGAAAGCAACUACAGGAGGUGACACCACUCCCUCGUAAUACAAUAUCGUGGCUGUGUUUAUAUUCGGCGAUACAUCUUCGACCAGAUGAGUGCACAGUUCUCUUGCUGUCGCAAUACUGAUUUACAUUAUGAACAGCAAAAGAAAUCCUGGCUGUAUUCCUCUGCGUCAUUCUUCCUGUUCUUGCAUGGCAUGUGGUUGUAAGACGCCAUUAUGUUGUGGACUUCACGCCAUCUUUCCUUGCUAGACUUGUCAACAACAACCAGAGCAUCCCAGUCGACAGCAGCAGGCAAUGGCUAUGAUUCUUCUACUAAUGUGAGCAAGGUACCCUACAACUUCCAUUAAUUGGAGUCCAAUCAGUCAUAUGUUCGAAAAUCCUGAAGGUAAAUUUAUUGGUGAUAGAAAUACGCAUAAGCAAACCACUCUCAUUUAUCCACUUAAUUCGUGUUUUGGACGCUGGGAAUCCCCAAGUUCAUCUACUCCACCAUCUGAGACUAGAAAAACUGCUUCGUUGGACAACAUCAACGGUUCCAAGGUGAUCUGCGCAAGACCAGACGGCAGGUUGGGCAAUCAGAUGUUUGAGUAUGCGUCUGUUAUUGGGAUUGCACUAAAAACAAACAGGAUACCCGUCUUUUUGGGCAUGUCGUCUAUUUACAUGAUGUG